UCCAGACUCCUACGGGAGGCAGCAGUGGGGAAUAUUGCACAAUGGGCGAAAGCCUGAUGCAGCAACGCCGCGUGAAGGAAGAAGGUCUUCGGAUCGUAAACUUCUGUCCUUGGGGAAGAUAAUGACGGUACCCUUGGAGGAAGCCCCGGCUAACUACGUGCCAGCAGCCGCGGUAAUACGUAGGUGGCAAGCGUUAUCCGGAUUUACUGGGUGUAAAGGGCGUGUAGGCGGGAAAGCAAGUCAGAUGUGAAAACCAUGGGCUCAACCUGUGGCCUGCAUUUGAAACUGUUUUUCUUGAGUACUGGAGAGGCAGACGGAAUUCCUAGUGUAGCGGUGAAAUGCGUAGAUAUUAGGAGGAACACCAGUGGCGAAGGCGGUCUGCUGGACAGCAACUGACGCUGAGGCGCGAAAGCGUGGGGAGCAAACAGGAUUAGAUACCCGAGUAUC
rnacentral:rRNA from 1 species